UGGGGAAUAUUGGACAAUGGGGGAAACCCUGAUCCAGCGAUGCCGCGUGUGUGAAGAAGGCCUGCGGGUUGUAAAGCACUUUAGUUGGGGAGGAGAAGCUUUGCAUGAAGAGUGUGGAGCUGAGACGUUACCCAAAGAAUAAGCACCGGCAAACUCUGUGCCAGCAGCCGCGGUAAUACAGAGGGUGCGAGCGUUAAUCGGAGUUACUGGGCGUAAAGGGCACGUAGGCGGCGGUAAAAGCCAGUUGUGAAAUCCCUGGGCUCAACCUGGGAACUGCAAUUGGGACUGUAUGGCUAGAGUCGAAGAGAGGGAAGCGGAAUUUCCGGUGUAGCGGUGAAAUGCGUAGAUAUCGGAAGGAACACCUGUGGCGAAGGCGGCUUCCUGGAUUCAGACUGACGCUGAGGUGCGAAAGCGUGGGUAGCGAACAGGAUUAGAUACCCUAGUAGUCCCUGAGCGGGCUGGCAAGGCGCAU
rnacentral:rRNA from 1 species